ACGGGUGCGUAACGCGUGGGAAUCUGCCCUUGGGUUCGGAAUAACGUCGGGAAACUGACGCUAAUACCGGAUGAUGACGUAAGUCCAAAGAUUUAUCGCCCAAGGAUGAGCCCGCGUAGGAUUAGCUAGUUGGUGAGGUAAAGGCUCACCAAGGCUACGAUCCUUAGCUGGUCUGAGAGGAUGAUCAGCCACACUGGGACUGAGACACGGCCCAGACUCCUACGGGAGGCAGCAGUAGGGAAUAUUGGACAAUGGGGGCAACCCUGAUCCAGCAAUGCCGCGUGAGCGAUGAAGGCCUUAGGGUUGUAAAGCUCUUUUACCCGGGAUGAUAAUGACAGUACCGGGAGAAUAAGCCCCGGCUAACUCCGUGCCAGCAGCCGCGGUAAUACGGAGGGGGCUAGCGUUGUUCGGAAUUACUGGGCGUAAAGCGCACGUAGGCGGCUAUUCAAGUCAGAGGUGAAAGCCCGGGGCUCAACCCCGGAAUAGCCUUUGAAACUAGAUAGCUUGAAUCCAGGAGAGGUGAGUGGAAUUCCGAGUGUAGAGGUGAAAUUCGUAGA
rnacentral:rRNA from 1 species